GACGACGCAGUUAGAUAAUUAUGUCGUAUCUAGUAUCGAUUUAGCUCAAACGACGAAAAUUCUCACCGAUGGAUAAUACGUUGCGGCCAUUAAAUAGGUGAUAUCGAUGGUAAGAAUGACGGAAAGAUGCCAUCUAUUUUAAACGACACGGUUCAUGAGUUUGCGCCGUCGUCGGCCGAACUAAGUUCACCCGCCACCUUAUUACCGUCAAUCGAACCCUGCGAAUUGCCAACGACGGCGGAGGAGUAUCACCACAAAUACUGUAUUCACAAUGUAAGAAAAAGAUAUCGUCAAAAGAUAAACUCGCCUUCAUUGAAGUGCAGGAUCCUGCGACGGUUGGAGAAGGCAUUUUCGCCCCCGAAGAACACUAUUGAGAGGUCGCUGGUUUCAAUACAGAGGGUUCUCAAGAAAAGGGUAUAAUGAUAACACACAGUAGCAAAUAACAGUAACAGCGCUGAGAGCCCUAAUUAUCGAACCGGAUAUUUGUGGUUUACGUAUUGAGCCCAUCUAAUCCAACAGCGUUACGUAUAAUUACGUCUAUAUACGUAGUGUGCCUUUACAUUACCCUUCAGUAUCGUCAAGGUCCUCGAUUGCAAAAAAGGAAAAGCGUUUAUGGUUUGAACGCAAAGUGUGGGUCCCUGUCCGCCAUGGAAAGCGUCGACGCCUUCAUGGCGCGGACCUUCAAAUUGUUCGAGGAUCCCUCGUUUGUAAUGGUUGCAAUAGUAUUAUCUCAAGUUUUCAACGUGGUACGACGUUAUGUAGCGACAGAAAAUACAUUCAUUACUCAUAAACACAGUGUGAAUCAACGAUGGUGCCCUGCAAGAGGACAACGUAAAGUACGUCGCGUUGUUUGGGACAGCAUGUCCUGUUGCCCGUAUCUAGCCCAUCCGAUCGCAGUGAUGCUGCAUCCCUGUUGUUCCUCCGGGCCAACGAAAUUCGACAGUGGAUAAGAGUACGUUUUUGUGCCGAUCGUUAAAAAGGGUGCAUUUGUACUUCCAAUUAAUGUGGUGUGGAUGGAGUAUCUGUUCGAACUGCUACGCCAAUGGAGCGAUCUUUGCCGAGGUUCUAACUCGUCAAACGGGUCUCGCCUUGGAAGUAGCGGCAUUUGAAACAUUAAACAGACACCCAGUGUUUCAAGCUAGUGAACCGUCGAGGAAUCGUACUGGGCAUUUCGCCUUAACAGCUGCUAUCUUAACGAAGGAAUUCAACCGAACGAUAACGACUUGAGAUUUUCUAGUCAACUUAGAAGCUUUGUACAGUAUCUUUAUAUAGUAGCAGAAUAAAUCGCCUA